AUGGCGUUACGACAGGCACUGGGAUGGUCUGACGGGGAGGUGAUGCGGCCAGAGUCGAAGACCUGCUCCCGCCUGAUGCGUCACACCGCGGGCAUCUUCUCCGUCGGUGGCGCCCUCGCUUCCUGGGUUCUCUGUCGCCUUCACUAUGGUCCGAGGAUAACGGUCCCGAGGAGCCUGAGGUGGGCAUCCUGUGGAGCGAUCUGCACGAGCUUGGCGUCGGCCUCGCUGGUGCGGCUCUUGAGCCCGGAGUGCGAGCCGCAGAACAUAGCGGCUUACGACAGGCCCGAACACAAGCCUGCAUAG
rnacentral:rRNA from 1 species